rnacentral:rRNA from 1 species
AUUGAACGCUGGCGGCAGGCCUAACACAUGCAAGUCGAGCGGGAACUUCGGUUCUAGCGGCGGACGGGUGAGUAAUGCGUAGGAAGCUACCCGACAGAGGGGGAUACCAGUUGGAAACGACUGUUAAUACCGCAUAAUGUCUACGGACCAAAGUGUGGGACCCUCGGGCCACAUGCUGUCGGAUGCGCCUACGUGGGAUUAGCUAGUUGGUGAGGUAAUGGCUCACCAAGGCGACGAUCCCUAGCUGGUUUGAGAGGAUGAUCAGCCACACUGGAACUGAGACACGGUCCAGACUCCUACGGGCGGCAGCAGUGGGGAAUAUUGGACAAUGGGCGAAAGCCUGAUCCAGCCAUGCCGCGUGUGUGAAGAAGGCCUUCGGGUUGUAAAGCACUUUCAGUAGGGAGGAAGAGUUGAGUGUUAAUAGCACAUCAUUUUGACGUUACUCGCAGAAGAAGCACCGGCUAACUCUGUGCCAGCCGCCGCGGUAAAAC